UCGCUUUACUAUGUAUUAUUGCUUACAAGUAUUUGCACUGAAAAAAACAAAACAAAUAGUCUUUUUCAAUUCACCUAAUACAAGUACUGUAGUGCAAUCUUUUAUCAUGAAAGUUGAACCUACAAAUGUAGAAUAAUGUACAAAAGCAACUGCAUUCAAAAAUAAAACAAUGUGAAUUUUAGAGCCUGCAAGUCCACUCAGUCCUACUUCUUGUUCAGCCAAUCACUCAGACAAACAAGUUUGUUUACAUUUGCAGGAGAUAA